rnacentral:piRNA from 1 species
UAAAAUAUAUAUACUUAUGGG